rnacentral:lncRNA from 1 species
UAGACAGCCUUGUUUAGUUUGAAUAGACAGCCUUGUUUAGUUUGAAUAGACAGCCUUGUUUAGUUUUCAUCCACAAUCUAUAUCUUCACUCAGCAAUAUGCAGUCUCCUUAGCUGACUGACUGACAGUCUGUUUCUGCUAUGUCACGCUUCGUCACUCAUUGCCCUGCCUUGUUUGGCUUGACAAGGACAAAGUAGUCAAGGGCACCAACAGAUUUGGGACCAGGCUACAGUUUCCUCACUUUAUAAAACACGAAGAAGAGUGCAGCUCAACUCCACAACAAAUCACCAACCGAAAACAACCUCAAGACGUGUACCAUAAGAAACACUUUACUUUGACUGCAGUACAAUCCAUAGUGCUUGAGCAUCUAGAUCAGGGAUCUCCAGCCCUGUUCCUGGAGUACAUACCUUCCUGUAGGUUUACACUCCAACCCUGUUCCUGGAGGUUUUAACUCCAACCCUGUUCCUGGAGAGAUACCCCUCCUGUAGGUUUUAACUCCAACCCUGUUCCUGGAGAGAUACCCCUCCUGUAGGUUUUAACUCCAACCCUGUUCCUGGAGAGAUACCCUCCUGGAGGUUUUAACUCCAACCCUGUUCCUGGAGAGAUACCCCUCCUGUAGGUUUUAACUCCAACCCUGUUCCUGGAGAGAUACCCUCCUGUAGGUUUUAACUCCAACCCUGUUCCUGGAGAGAUACCCUCCUGUAGGUUUUAACUCCAGCCCUGUUCCUGGAGGUUUUAACUCCAACCCUGUUCCUGGAGAGAUACCCUCCUGUAGGUUAAAUAGACUCAGACAGAUACAUCAAUAUUCACACUGACAGGUUAAAUAGACUCAGACAGAUACAUCAAUAUUCAAACUGACAUGUUAAAUAGACUCAGACAGAUACAUCAAUAUUCACACUGACAGGUUAAAUAGACUCAGACAGAUACAUCAAUAUUCACACUGACAGGUUAAAUAGACUCAGAUAACACACUUGACUAGGGUGAAUGAUAAGAAUGUCCUCUUUCUCUCUCCCCCUCCCACGCAAGCGCGCACACACACACACACACCAAUCAUCGUCCUCAUUCAUCGCUGUUGCUGGACAGAUCCUCACAUAUUAUCCUGACAUUGAGAGCUCUCAUGGAGUGGAUCUGUGCAACAGGUGCUCAGGACGGUUUGGGGGGGGGGGGGUCGACAUCACUUCCUCCCUCCCAUCCCAGCAAUGCACUCUGGGAUCUGUAGUAGCAUACAUAUACACAUUACGAAUGCUUUUUUUUUCUUCUUCUUCCUCCUUACAAUUUUCAAAUGUAUUUUUGUAUAAUUUAUUAAGGGACAUUGUACGCCCUAACUGGUG